rnacentral:rRNA from 1 species
UACAGAGGUCCCAAGCGUUGUUCGGAUUCACUGGGCGUAAAGGGUGCGUAGGUGGCCAGGUAAGUUCGAUGUGAAAUCUCCGAGCUUAACUCGGAAAGUGCAUUGAAUACUAUCUGGCUAGAGGGUUGGAGGGGGGACUGGAAUUCUCGGUGUAGCGGUGAAAUGCGUAGAUAUCGAGAGGAACACCAGUGGCGAAGGCGAGUCCCUGGACAACUCCUGACACUGAGGCACGAAAGCUAGGGGAGCAAACAGG